CUUGUUUUAGAUAAGUCAUCGCCUUGUAAAACAUCUGGUUCAGCACUAAGCGAUUCGACACAAGCGUGGUGCGCGGGCGCCGCAUCGUUCGAGUGUCGUUUAAGAUGGCUACUCGCACUGCGAAUCGACAAUGACGCAUCACUAGGUUGACAGCUUGUCAACCUGACAUCUGACGGAAACGCUGUCACAGUAAUAUGCAAAACAUACAAAAAUAGCAUGCAAAAUUAAUUAGAAUUACAAUUCUUUAAUAAUUUCUUACUAAUGUUUAUAAAUAAAUAAAAUGCUUUUUA